CACAGCCAAAGGGACCAGGCACGCCGCGAGGAUUGCUGCCCCUCCCUCUUCUCCUCCAUGCCGCUGCCCCCGCAUUUGUGAAGAUCUCGCAUCUCUCGCUCACUCUAUGUCAGCCAUGGAGGGUGGGCAUGUUGGUACAUCCAAGAUGAACGGAGCUUGCGCCUUCAAUCAAUACCGGAAAGAAGAGAUGAUACCAGCACCGCAGAAGAUGAACUACGGGGAAGAUCCAUCUUGGUGUCGUCAAUGGCAAAGACUCAAGCAUAUAUGCCCUAGGGUUUUGGCGCAAGAAAGUAUCUGUACCCGGGGCUACCUAGCCGAUUCGACAACGCUACCACGUCUGAGAAAGUGGUACCAGAAGAAGGUACAUUUGGGGCGCCAUCCAAUGCCCAUUCUCUUGCUUCUUUUGUUUCUUCUUCUUUUUUUUCGUUGGCUAUUGUUCUUGCUGAGCAUGGGAUUUUAGAUUUUUAGAUCUCUGAUAACAUGUUUAAUCCCAACUGGGCAUUGUGAGCACAGGGAAUGGGCAAGGAAAACAACAAUCUUCUCAGUAUUCUUUUUGUUCAUUAGGACAUACAUUUUUUCCCCUUUAGUGGUUCCACUCCCCAUCUUAUCCAUGUUUCUUGCAGGUUCGCAUGGAGAUGGAUUUUUUUUUUUGAAAAGAAGAUCUUGGUAUGAAUAUCAAAAGGCAUUCAGUUGCAUAACUCUCAAACCAAAUGCUAGUCAUUUUAGGUUUAAUUUUAUAAAUGUUGGUUCAUGACAUGGUCCUGUAAUUGUUACACAAUUAGCAAUCAUUUAUACAAAAUAAAACACACCUAUAGAUAAUUUGUUAUUCUACAUUUUUUUCCUGUUGGUUUUUCUUAUGUUUUUUGCAAUGUUCAAUGGUCAGUACCAUGAUGUAGUACCAUUUUUGUGCUAUUAUAUCACCACGGAUACUCACAGUAAACAAUCCAUAUGAAAAACCAAGCUAUGUUCCGAAUUAUUCUCAUUCACUAAACAAAGAAGCACAACAGCGAAACUGAGCUAUAAUGGAGUAGUAUACUAACCCUCACCAAAUACACUUAAUUAUUGUCUCUACAUCUCUCUCAUCUGAACCACCUGGGUGUUCUAAUUUUAUUACAAGAUGAUAUACAUCCAUUGUGUGUCUGCUUUAGCAUUUUCAUUGCGUAUACCAAAUUCUUUUGUUCUUUUAUAAUGUGUGGACUGAUUUUUGUUUGGGUACCAUUUUGAUCUCCUUCAGGUUUUGUCCAUGUAUGAAAAAAAAGGCCCUGGGCUUAUAAAAAGAAGAUGCAUAUGCAUAGAUGUUUCUCCAUUUCAAUAAAAUUUCUUCUUGUAACCCUGAGAUCCCCAAAUUUGCGCAUCAUCUUGAAACAAGUUUUUUCAUUUCAUAAAUUUGAGCUACUAGGUUUUCUUAUAUUUUUCAAAUAACCUUUUCUACUUGCGGAUAUUCAUUGAAAUGUUUCUAGCUAUAAGCUGUUGAAAACCCCAAGGAAGUUUAUAAAAAUCAUGUAGAAACAAAUCAUGGUAACAGCAUGUGGAAAAAACAUGGUGUGCACAAUCCAGUACUUGCUUUCUUCAUUUUGAAAAAUUAUUCUUGUGACAUGUUUCCAAUAUGUGCAUGCUGCAAAAAGUCAAAGUAAUUUGUGACUUAAUCUAACCAUGUUAGAGUAUUAUCUUUUUACAAUUAUGUAAAUGUACUACUUCAACCUCAAUUUGGUUACAUACAAUUAGGUGCUGCUUCUUAACUUUUACAUAUCUAUACUUAUUGUUGUUUGUUGUACGUGGCAACAAACUGUUUAUUGUAGCAAAAUUUUAUUCAACAAUCUGGUAUCCAUUUGAAUGAACCUUCCUGUACCACUUGUUACCAUUUGGAUUGUUUGAGUUAGCAAGUUUUAACCAGUUUGCCCUAUUAAUGUAAGAUCACAAUAUUUUUGUUCUAUUAUUGCCUUUUUCAUCAUGAAACACCAUCCAAGUCGUUCAUUGUCUUCAAUUAGAACCAUGUCUUCAUGCAGUUUUGGUUAUAUAAGCUCAUACCUCAAUGAACUUAACUACCAAAAUAUGCUAGGUUUGCACAUGGUGGACAGUUACUUGCCUGUUGCAAUCGUACAUAUGGCGUAUAGUCCUUCAAGUAUGUAAGGUUUUUAUGGAACUUCUUUCUGUUAACUCAAAGGAAACCAUGCGUCGUUGAUUUUCCCUAACCUUAGAAAGUUGAAAAAUAUAUACACAAUGCAUGCAAUUCAGAAUGUUGUGGCAGACGCUACCUGUAAAUUGCAUCAUUUUCUGGUUCUAGUUCAUUAGUUCAUAUGUGCUAGUGUACACACCAUUUUGAAUGAAAAUGCCCUAAUCUGGUUCAAAAGUGUGAUGGUACAAAGUGGCAAGCUAUAUACUAAAGCACACUGAAAGCAACAGUUAUUUUUGAACAGGCUAUUUGCUCAUGCUAAAUAAUAUGUAAACAAGUGUCCAGCGCUAAGCUAUAUGCUAAAUGACACAUUUUUUUUUACUUCAAACAUUGAUGAAAGAAAAGGUCAAGCAUGCAACUGGUGGCACUUGCACUCUUGUAUUUCGUCAAACAAUAACAGGCACUGGAUGACACCAUUUCCUUCUGAGUCGUAUCAAUUUCUAUCCUUUUUUUUGUUUUAUGCUUUUUGUUCUCCAUACAAAUAGAUUUGAACCGACAUGACUUAUUACUGGAUGUUACAGAUGCAUUUUCAGGGUGGAAUAUGGACUGCAGACUGUGAUUGCAUUAAUGGAUUUUAAUGACAUGAUGGUAAAUGGAUUUUAAUGACAUUUUGGUGGCACAGAUUCAAGAACUCUUUCAUUUUGGUGGCAUAGAUUCUGAGGACCAACAUAUUUGGAAAGUCCAGGUCUGAUGUGUGCAGAUCACAUUGUAGGCUUGUAGCUCUUCUGUCAACCUCCAGUCUCAAAUUUUUACAUCUGAUAUGUACGGAUCAUAUUGUAUGCUCGUCUCUCUAGUUUGGAUCUGGUACGUGCAUGAAUGAUUCAAAAACAGUCCAUUUAUUUGGGACAUACCCGCAUGAAUGAUUCAAAAACAGUCCAUUAUAUUUAUUUGGGACGUGGGUAUACGUAUGUGCA